GGGCCCUUAGCUCAGUUGGUCAGAGCAGCCGGCUCAUAACCGGAAGCGCCCAGGUUCGAGUCCUGGAGGGCCCACCA
rnacentral:tRNA from 1 species